rnacentral:rRNA from 1 species
ACGAACGCUGGCGGCGUGCCUAAUACAUGCAAGUCGAACGGUCUUUCUAUGGAAGCUUGCUUCCACUGAGAAGAUAGUGGCGGACGGGUGAGUAACACGUGGGUAACCUGCCCAUAAGAGGGGGGAUAACAUCCGGAAACGGGUGCUAAUACCGCAUAGUUUUCUUGAUCGCAUGAUUGAGAAAGGAAAGACGGCCUUUGUGCUGUCGCUUAUGGAUGGACCCGCGGCGUAUUAGUUAGUUGGUGAGGUAAUGGCUCACCAAGACGAUGAUACGUAGCCGACCUGAGAGGGUGAUCGGCCACAUUGGGACUGAGACACGGCCCAAACUCCUACGGGAGGCAGCAGUAGGGAAUCUUCCGCAAUGGACGAAAGUCUGACGGAGCAACGCCGCGUGAGUGAAGAAAGGUUUUCGGAUCGUAAAACUCUGUUGUCAGAGAAGAACAAGUUGGAGAGUAACUGCUCCAGCCUUGACGGUAUCUGACCAGAAAGCCACGGCUAACUACGUGCCAGCCGCGGC